GACCAACACCCCGAGGGCACAAAAAGCCUUUCCUGGCCUCUGGAGGCUGCUGGGAUGAGCAGGAGGUGUGAGCAGGCUGAAGAUAACAAGCAGUGAGAAGUGGGACCAGUGCUGGGUCCUUCCCUUGCUGCUGAUGUCCCCCAGGCUCACCCUCCCAGGGAUGGAUUUUACCCUUGAGGAGGACAAUCCCUGACCUUCAAACCCACAGAGCCCUUUAAAGCCCUCAACCAUGUGUCCAUCCAGUUCCCCCAUUCUUCAUGGACAAAUUUGCCACAGAAAAUGGGCAAUGUCCUCUUUGACUGGAUUUUCCAUGCUUUUCCUUGGCUUUUAUGCCAUGGCUGAAUGUCUUGGAGCGGGGAGCCAAGGUUUUGGGGAGUCCCCCAAAGGAAAACAGUGUCAAAGCCAUGCCAGCUCUGCACAAGCAGAUAUUUCCACCUGCUGAUAACAUCCAUGGAACCUAAGGGCCAUUUGUCUGGGUGCUUGACAUUUGUCCUGGUGCCACCUCCCCCAGCUGCCUCUGAUUGAAUCACUGCUGCCGUUAUUAUUUCUCUGUUCCUUGACUUUUCUGCCAGCCAACUGAAAAUACUGAACUGAAAAUGCUUCCAUUCUUGUUUGCUGUUGAUCAGAUAAUUCACAGGCCUGAGCUGUCCUGACGUGGCCAGCACUGCAAGUUCAUGUGCUGGAAAAUGAGUGCAUACAAGGAGUGGUUUACACCUCUGCCCCUGUUCCUACGCCGUGUUUUAAUAUUUGCAGUGCCUUUUGGAUGUGUUACAAUUGGCAGU